UACACCACUGAGCGCUGAAACGCGCCUUACUCGCCAUUACUGGAAAGAUGAGUGGAAAUAAAUCGAAACAGGGCGGGAAUGUUGAGCGGUCGUACUUGCUUUCCCGUAUGAGAUAGAA
ncrna:unclassified sequences RT-4 RNA